UACAGAGGUCUCAAGCGUUGUUCGGAUUCAUUGGGCGUAAAGGGUGUGUAGGUGGCGCCGUAAGUCGGGUGUGAAAUCUCGGGGCUUAACUCCGAAAUUGCACUGGAUACUGCUCUGCUAGAGGGCUGGAGAGGAGAUCGGAAUUCACGGUGUAGCAGUGAAAUGCGUAGAUAUCGUGAGGAAGACCAGUGGCGAAGGCGGAUCUCUGGACAGCUCCUGACGCUGAGGCGCGAAGGCUAGGGGAGCAAACGGG
rnacentral:rRNA from 1 species